rnacentral:rRNA from 1 species
UACGUAGGGGGCAAGCGUUGUUCGGAAUUACUGGGCGUAAAGGGCGCGUAGGCGGCACGGCAAGUCGGGAGCGAAAGCCCGGGGCUCAACCCCGGAGGGUCUCUCGAGACUGCCGAGCUAGAGUGCGGAAGAGGCAACCGGAAUUCCCAGUGUAGCGGUGAAAUGCGUAGAUAUUGGGAAGAACACCGGAGGCGAAGGCGGGUUGCUGGGCCGACACUGACGCUGAGGCGCGAAAGCCAGGGGAGCAAACGGG